rnacentral:rRNA from 1 species
AGAGUUUGAUCCUGGCUCAGAUUGAACGCUGGCGGCAUGCCUUACACAUGCAAGUCGAACGGCAGCACGGAGCUUGCUCUGGUGGCGAGUGGCGAACGGGUGAGUAAUAUAUCGGAACGUACCCUGGAGUGGGGGAUAACGUAGCGAAAGUUACGCUAAUACCGCAUACGAUCUAAGGAUGAAAGUGGGGGAUUCGCAAGAACCUCAUGCUCGUGGAGCGGCCGAUAUCUGAUUAGCUAGUUGGUAGGGUAAAAGCCUACCAAGGCAUCGAUCAGUAGCUGGUCUGAGAGGACGACCAGCCACACUGGAACUGAGACACGGUCCGGACUCCUACGGGAGGCAGCAGUGGGGAAUUUUGGACAAUGGGCGCAAGCCUGAUCCAGCAAUGCCGCGUGAGUGAAGAAGGCCUUCGGGUUGUAAAGCUCUUUUGUCAGGGAAGAAACGGUGGGAGCUAAUAUCUCCUGCUAAUGACGGUACCUGAAGAAUAAGCACCGGCUAACUACGUGCCAGCAGCCGCGGUAAUACGUAGGGUGCAAGCGUUAAUCGGAAUUACUGGGCGUAAAGCGUGCGCAGGCGGUUUUGUAAGUCUGAUGUGAAAUCCCCGGGCUCAACCUGGGAAUUGCAUUGGAGACUGCAAGGCUAGAAUCUGGCAGAGGGGGGUAGAAUUCCACGUGUAGCAGUGAAAUGCGUAGAUAUGUGGAGGAACACCGAUGGCGAAGGCAGCCCCCUGGGUCAAGAUUGACGCUCAUGCACGAAAGCGUGGGGAGCAAACAGGAUUAGAUACCCUGGUAGUCCACGCCCUAAACGAUGUCUACUAGUUGUCGGGUCUUAAUUGACUUGGUAACGCAGCUAACGCGUGAAGUAGACCGCCUGGGGAGUACGGUCGCAAGAUUAAAACUCAAAGGAAUUGACGGGGACCUGCACAAGCGGUGGAUGAUGUGGAUUAAUUCGAUGCAACGCGAAAAACCUUACCUACCCUUGACAUGGCUGGAAUCCCCGAGAGAUUGGGGAGUGCUCGAAAGAGAACCAGUACACAGGUGCUGCAUGGCUGUCGUCAGCUCGUGUCGUGAGAUGUUGGGUUAAGUCCCGCAACGAGCGCAACCC